UACGAAGGGGGCUAGCGUUGCUCGGAAUUACUGGGCGUAAAGCGCACGUAGGCGGCUUCUUAAGUCGGUGGUGAAAUCCUGGAGCUCAACUCCAGAACUGCCUUCGAUACUGAGAAGCUCGAGUCCGGGAGAGGUGAGUGGAACUGCGAGUGUAGAGGUGAAAUUCGUAGAUAUUCGCAAGAACACCAGUGGCGAAGGCGGCUCACUGGCCCGGUACUGACGCUGAGGUGCGAAAGCGUGGGGAGCAAACAGGG
rnacentral:rRNA from 1 species